CUAUUUGGUAAUUCCGAUCCUUUUCAAAAAAUUUGUGCUUGUUUUCAACUUAGUUUUUAAGAAGUGUGAAAAUUUUGAGUUAAGAUCAAAUGUUCAUUCAUUAGUUAUUGAGGUUUAAUUCUAUUGUAGAAAUUAUUAGGGUUGGUUAGGAUUUGGUUAGGAUUUGAUUUAAGAUUGAAGUUUGGUUUAGAAUUUAGAGUUUGGUUUAGGAGUGGAUAGGAUUUGAUUUAAGAUUAGGAUUUAGUUUAGAAUUUAGAGUUUGAUUAGGGUUUGAUUUAGGAUUAGGAUUUGGUUUAGGAUUUUUUAGGGUUUGACUUAGGAUUAAGGUUUGGUUUAGGGUUUAGAAUUCGGUUUAAGAUUUAGAAUUUGAUUAGGAUUUGAUUUUGGGUUAAGGUUUGAUUUAGGAUUUUGGUUAGGAUUUGAUUAAGGAUUAGGAUUUGAUUUAAGAUUUAGGAUUUGAUUUAGGGAUAGUUAGGAUUUGAUUUAGAAUUAGGAUUUGAUUUAAGAUUAAGAUUUGAUUAGGAUUUGAUUUAGUAUUAAGAUUUGGUUUAAAGUUUAGGAUUUGAUUUUGGAUUUGAUUUAGGAUUUGAGUUUGGUUUAGGAUUUAAGAUUUGAUUAUGAUUUGAUUUAAGGUUUAGGAUGUAAUUGAGGGUUUAGGGUUUGGUUUAGGAUUUAAGAUUUGAUUAGGAUUUGAUCAGGAUUUGAUUUAAGGUUUAGGAUUUUAUUUGAGUUUGUUUAGGAUUUAAGAUUUAGUUAGUUUUUGGCCUAAAGUUUGAAUGAAGUAAGAUUUCAACUAGAAUUUAAUUAAGAUUGAAUUGAGAUGUAUUUGAGAUAUGUUUGUAAUCAUUCUAAUAUUUCUUUAAGAUUUCUUAUUGUUUCUUUGGAAUUCCUUUGAGGUUUAUCUGAAUUUGAUUAUAGAUUAUUUAGUAUUAUUAGUGUUCUAUUAAAAUUAUGAUUUUGUUGUUGCAAUUUCCAUUCUAUAUUCCACAACCGGGUGCUCGGAGCAUUCUC
rnacentral:lncRNA from 1 species